CCUACGGGAGGCUGCAGUGAGGAAUAUUGGUCAAUGGGCGGAAGCCUGAACCAGCCAAGUAGCGUGCGGGAUGAAGGCCCUACGGGUCGUAAACCGCUUUUGCACGGGGGUAAAACGCUCCACUUGUGCGGGUCUGCAGGUACCGUGCGAAAAAGCGCCGGCUAAUUCCGUGCCAGCAGCCGCGGUAAUACGGAAGGCCCGAGCGUUAUCCGGAUUCAUUGGGUUUAAAGGGAGCGUAGGCGGACGUUAAAGUCAGCGGUAAAAUCGCGGGGCUCAACCGCGUCGCGCAGUUGAAACUGGGUGCCUUGAGUGGACAACAGGUAGGCGGAAUUCGUGGUGUAGCGGUGAAAUGCAUAGAUAUCACGAGGAACCCCGAUUGCGAAGGCAGCGUGCCGGGGUCCAACUGACGCUGAAGCUCGAAGGUGUGGGUAUCAAACAGGAUUAGAUACCCGAGUAGUC
rnacentral:rRNA from 1 species